rnacentral:rRNA from 1 species
GAUGAACGCUGGCGGCGUGCCUAAUACAUGCAAGUCGAGCGAACGGACGAGAAGCUUGCUUCUCUGAUGUUAGCGGCGGACGGGUGAGUAACACGUGGAUAACCUACCUAUAAGACUGGGAUAACUUCGGGAAACCGUAGCUAAUACCUUAUGAUAUUUUUAACCGCAUGGUUCAAAAGUGAAAGACGGUCUUGCUGUCACUUAUAGAUGGAUCCGCGCUGCAUUAGCUAGUUGGUAAGGUAACGGCUUACCAAGGCAACGAUGCAUAGCCGACCUGAGAGGGGGAGCGGCAACACUGGAACUGAGACACGGUCCAGACUACUACGGGAGGCAGCAGUAGGGAAUCUUCCGCAAUGGGCGAAAGCCUGACGGAGAAAAGCCGCGUGAGUGAUGAAGGUCUUCGGAUAGUAAAACUCUGUUAUUAGGGAAGAACAUAUGUGUAAGUAACUGUGCACAUCUUGAAGGUACCUAAUCAGAAAGCCACGGCUAACUACGUG